UUAGGAUUUUUUUGGUAAGAUUUUUGCUUAUUUUUUGAAAAUAUUUACAAGAAUUCUCUUGCCAAAUUUGGGGGAUUUAUUUAUUUAUUUAUUUAUUUAUUUUAAAUAAAACUUUUAAGGAAUUCUUGGAAUUUUCCUCCUGAAGGUUUUGCAAAUUUUCAGAAAUUUGGGGAUUUUUUUUGCUGAAUUUUUAGAUUUUUUUCAGACAAGGAAAUAAUAUUUUUUGGUGUCUGUAAAUGAGGACAACAGGAGGGUUAAGAGAAGGUAUAAAAGAUGCUUUGUGUAGUCUGCCAAAAUCUGGAGAAUUUGCUCAUGUUUGUUCUUACAUCCUCUGUAUUGAAUAGACAUUAUUCACAUCAGACUCUGAAGAUUGCAUGAAGACUCUUUCUUGAAAACAUUUUGAAGAGCUGCCUGAUCAUCUUUGGCCCUUUGCAGGCAGACUGACUCACAACAGAUGGAGUGAGUAGAUGUGGAUGAAACCUAUUCAACUGUUCAGGGAAAGCAGUCAUGGAAACAAUGCAGCAGAUAAUCGGUACAAUUUUCAUCACUGAUCCUCACUCAAAAUGCACAUCUGUUGUUCUAUAUGAUGCGAUGACACAGAUACCUUCAGGGGAAACUGGGUGAAUCCCGACUUAAACUUACAUUUGGAGGCAAACCUUUUGUUAAAGUACGCCGUCUGCACUGGAGAUCAUUCAGCCUGUGUUGAGCAUUUUGAGUCAAAAUCUGACUUUUCACGUUUAUUUUCUCAGGAAAACGUCAUUGCGGAGCUCCGAGCUGAUGUUGUUUACAGUGACUCUGGCUGUCUGUUGCCGUUGGGGACUCGGCUGGCAGACACAAAGAGCCGCUGGGGCCCUCUCACCCUAAUUAAUGGACUCCCGCGUUUUUUCAAAGCCCGGGUCCCAGUGUGUUUUUCCAGCGCCACGCCACUGCGCAUUAAUCUACGGGGCAACAGAGGGUGAACGCCAAGCCGUUAGCGCCAGGGACGACGGACUCCUUCCCCCCUCGUCUCAUUCUACCUGAUGCUGCCAGAAAACGCCACACUAUCUGGACCGAACACAUGGACGAUGGAAGGGGAAGUGACUUGAAACAGACAAAUGCCCUUGAUGCACCGUGACACCUCCAGCUCAGACACCGGUCUUUAACGGACCUCAUCGCCUCGCCGCAUCACCUCCAGACCUCCAUCCUGAGUGGGUGCGUCUUUGAAACACCGGCAGUCCGGCGGCUUUGAUGGUAAACCUCAGAGCAUCCACAUCCAGCUUCCGUCCUCACUGUCUGAGCGUCUUCCAGAGCUGCAUUUUUUUUCGUCCUCCUCGCUAUACACAAGUUGGACAAUAAUCGUCUGAACAGAUGGACCCACAAUGUCUGCUGU